rnacentral:tRNA from 1 species
AUUCAUAUAGUUUAUAAAAACAUUAUAUUUUCAAUAUAAAAAUAGAAUAAUUCUUAUGAAUA